CCCUCUCCUUAUAAGUGCGUGCGGAAAAGGAGGAGGGGAGGGGAGGGCAGGGCUGAAAUCAAACAAGCAAACGCGCUGAUAGGAAGUGAGAGGACGACCCUGCCCGCGGGCGGAACUCGAGUGCCAAGCCCGUGCUCCCAGCCGGGACACGGGGAGAAGCUCACGCUUCCUGCCGGAAGCUUCCCCGAGAGCACCGGAAGCGGUUGUUGCUGCUGCGGGCCCACGUGGGCGGUGGGAGUGCGGAGCCGACAUAGAGCAGCGACGUGGUGUGUCGGCUCGGACCCCAGCGCUGCCCUGGUCUGGGGUGGGCCCCACCCCGGAGCGCUGCACCACGCAGACCUGCUUUGUACUCAGUCAAUCGUAGACGAGUAAUAUAGCUACAUCAUGUAUUUACACUGUAAAUAGCGAUCGUAUUGAUUUGGAAGGACUUCUUCGAGGUGACACUGCUGGACUUUUUGAAGGGCACGUGGCAGGAGUCUCGGCUGCAGGUUUUUCUGGAGUCUCGUUGCCUUUCUGAAAGGAAGUGCCCAAGGCCGUUUCGACAGAUGUUCUCUGGGGAGAUGGGCGACGCAGCGAACUCGGCCAGUCGCUUCGAGCGCUGUGAAGUCGAAACUGAUGUUGGGAAGUUGAAACGGCGUCAACUCAUAAACGUCGCUGUGGGGCCGAGCUGUGUGACCACCAGGCGCGUCCGCAGGUGGUGGGUAGUGGAAUGACCUUCAGGGAAGGUUAGCUGUGAAAUAAGCAAUGGCAGACUCCACCAGGAUGUGAGGAGAGCAGAUGGCAAUACUUUCUCUCCUGAAAAGCCACGUGUAUCCUUUGACGGUACUGCUGUGACACGCUCCAGAAGUUGUCUCUUCACAGACUGCUGCAACACUGAAAGAAUAAGAUCACUUGCUCUUCUCUCCGUGUCUACCUACAGGGAACCUUGUCCCUUCCUUCAAAAUGCCAACUCUUCAUCCGGGCACCAGCAUGCAAAACCAUGGAUUGGGGCUUCAACAUCUCCCCUCACUACUUGAAGAAACCAGAACCCCAGAAACUGGGUCUACUGUGACCUGAUAUGAAGACCACUAAAGAAGUCUCCAAAGCCAGCCGUUUACCUCAGACUCGUGGGGCUGAUUCCAUUUGUUUCAGUGCCAGUGGUAAAGGUCAUCCAAAAGACUUACCAUCCUGAGCUGGCAUUUACUCAGGUUUCCUGUGAAGCCUGUAUAAUCUUUUUUUCUAGAUAGAAACCUGGUGAGGAUUUGCUGUCCCAGAACACAGCCUUACGAGUCCAGAUUAGCUGAAUUUGGCCAUGUGUACAGUUCCUCCUUUUAACAGCCUGGUUUGCUUUACUCUUCUGAAAUGAUUUCAGUGAAGCUGCAGUCAUGCUGAUAAUUGGUUUAGGCAUAGCAAAACAUUAUGACCUUGCCCUCCUUCCUACUUAUCCCUGUUGAUUGAUUAAAAGCCCAAAGGGGAAUUUUAACAGCACUGGCCGUACUUUCCUGGCUGUACUUUGGCAGUGCUAGCUGACACAGCAUAGAUGACCAAUCUUCCAGAGAAGCAAUUAAGUAACAGAGAAAAAUAAGAGCAGAUGAAAACAAAACAACAACUCAACAGAAGAGACUUGUUAGAUGUUUCUGUAUUGUGUCUUAGUGGGAAUAUAAUGUUUCAUCUCCUUCCGCUUCCAGCCUAGAACCUUAACUGGAAAUUGGAAGCCAGCAAAAUACAAAGCAGUGUAUUUGAGAUCAAAGGCAAAGAAGGACUUGCAUCUGUCACCAUUAAGACUGUUUUCAAGACAUGUUUUGCAGCAGGAUCCUAAAACCUCACUCGGGGAAGGUGCACAAGUCUUCAAACUGAAUUGCUCAGUUUCAGUAUUAAAGUGGUGAUGGGGAUAGGUGGUUUAACUGAAGUGUGACAAGUUCUGCAGCAGGAAGAAUGAACUCAGCUUUCAUAAAGAUUACACAUCUUUUGGAGAAAAGCCCUGUUUGUUCUCCCCGAGUGGAACAACACCUGCAGUGUAGGUGCUUUUGAUGACUGGAAGGAGCUGUGCCAGGUCAUAGUAUAUUCAGCAGUUUUUCUGGAAAUGCUGGCUAUGAAUUGCUCAAUGCAACAGGUAAAAGCAACUCUUCCCUUGCCCAACUUCAACUGAAGAGAAAUCGAAGAGUUAUUGGUAAUUAUGAGUUAGUAAUAAUAUAAUGAAUGUAGUAGACAAAAGGUGUCAAGCUGAGAUCAGCGCUUACCU